GACAAAUAAAUAUACGAUAAAAUAUUGAUUUCACAAAUGCAACAUCUCACAAAUGCAACAUCACAAACAAUGUAGUUCAUAAUCAAAACGUGUUCCAAGUUCAAAUAAAGGAACGAGAUAAAUAAAUUGACAAAAUAAGGUUACUGCUGGAAAUAUAAAAUAUUCAACCACAUUACAUUAGAUUUAUUUUAUUAGGUCCAGUAAAUCCUGGCACAACGACAAUAUCUCACGACCUGUCAACCAACAACCCGUUCUAGCUUGCGAGAAGUAGGAAAAAAUGUAAGUAUAUGAGAAUACUCAGUAAGAUACGAAUAAUUGUGUAAUCUCAAAUAAAAAUAUUAAAUCAUGCUUCAAAAAUAUCAUACCGUUAUAUUAUAUCUUUCGAAACCGGUAAGAGCUCAUAAUAUAUCAUAUAUUUAGUAUGGAUGGCCAUUUUCAUAUCAUAUCAUAUCAUUAACUUUCAUUAGCAUAAUAUUUAGAAACAUAAAGAAAUAAAUUAAACAUGAUAAACCACUAGCACCUCAUAGUCCUACCUUAAACUUUUGAAAAUCUUGAGUUGAUGCCUACAAAAAUUCAGACACUACAACAAAAGCAGUCUUUUGCAACGUUUGGACGUAUGUUGCAAACCUCAGUGUUGUCGUAAGGUGGAAGGAUAUGGCAAUCUUUUUUAAACAUUGCAAAAGACUUUCGACAACGUUUAAAAAACAUUGCCGUAAGUGUUACGCACCAGUUUUUUUUUUUUUUUUAUAUAGUAAUUUAUGUAAAUUGACUCACAAAAUUGAAAAUGACAAAUUUUGGAGUUGUAUAAAAAUGAUAAUUUCAUUACAAAUUUUUGAAAUAGUUUAGUAUAUGUAGUAGCAAAAAAAAAAAAAGGAGGAUUAUCAUUUCUUCUUUGGGAGGAAUAAUGAUAUAGUUUGGUAUGCAUAGUAGCAAAAGAAAUAUUUCAACAAAUUCUAAUACAGGUAAAGAAAGGAAUUUAUUGGAGACUUUCAUUUCCAAUUCUAACUAUAAUCUCAUUCCCAGCAGAGCACGUUCCUAGGAGUAAAAAGCAUGCUUCAACCCCCCUUAAAUAUAAGGCAGACCAUAUUAUUCCUUAAUACCAUGAUUCCUUAAAAUCAGGACACACUUAAAGUGAAGAGAGAUUAAAAUAGUUUAUCACUUAUACUAUCAACCAAUAUUGAUUAGACUAGAGAACUCACAGUGUCAACACUGAUAUAGUGUCAUCUAGCAGCUGAUAAAUGGCAUAAAUUAUGAUGCUGGAAUAACAUGACCAUGCAAAUGUAACUACUCAGGGUAUCAACUGAUAUAGGGUUGCAGUUUAUGAUUAUAUAACCAUGUAAUGAUGCGAAUACAAGGAGAUGUGAAGCCUCGAACUGUGAAAGAAGGAAUAAAGCAUUGAAAUAGUCUAAACGGGGGUAAAGCUAAUGACAAGAUAAUUUCUUCUGAGCAGGACUUCUAUAGAAUGUGCCUGCCAUGGGGCAUUUAAGUGGGAAAAGAAAUAAGCUUGAUUUCUUCACAACUAGUGAGCCUAGAAUGAAGAAAAGAAACUCGCAAAAAGUCUCAUCCCAACUUAAAUAGAAAAGUAAGCAAGAAAUGGAAAGCUAUUAGGGAGCUUGAGUUGUAGCAUAAUAUCUGACCCAAAUAGAGCAAGGGAAGCUACUUCUCGAUAUUAUGCCAACAACUAACAAGCCAUGUUUACACAACCAAAUUUGUAAAUGGCAAAAUUAAAUUUAUCGGACCUCAAAAUUAUUUUAAUAAUGGAAGAAUCUAUCUCCUACAGGGGCUGCAAUUUAUGGCCAUUUAAUCAGGUAAUUGUUGACUUGCGGCAGUCCUUAUUUUUUGUUGUUUACGGAUGAUGCCUAUCAAUGAAAUUUCUGUUUGUUGCAGUAAAAGGGAAAUUUAUGUACUAGCAUAUAUGGCUAAGCAUUAUACAUAUUGUUCCAGCAAAAGGGAAAUUAGAAAUUUUCAUUCACUUACCCAAAAUUUCUUAAAACCGAAGGAAGACUUAAAAGCAAACACUCAAAUCUACCAAACUAGUUCUUUAUACUUAGCUUUUGAGUGAGAAACGCGGAUUGAAUAUAAUCCUAAAUCCUAAUCCCAUUUUUUAUUCCCAUUCAAUAUUUUAAAGGAACUAGAAUAUAUUAGCAAUAAAUCCUAUUCCCAGAUCCCAUUCAAUAUAAUCUUAAUCCCAUUCAAUAUUUGAGCAAUAAAUUAUAAUCCCAUAACGUGAUUCCCUAAUCCUAUCAAAAUUUGAAAAUAAUCCCACCACCCACUACCCAGCACACAAUAGUGAAGGCACAAAAUCCCCUGGCUCCACAGCUCACCCCAAAUCAGAUUCUCCAUCUUAAAAUAUUUUAAAAGAACAAGAAAAAAAUAUAAACAAAAUGAGUACCUCCGUAGCAGUGGCAAACGAUAGCGACGAGAGAGGACAUUGAGGUAUAAUUUGAGACCGAAGAAAUCGCGAUUUGAUAAAUUGGGAUUUUGUUUCCGCUGAUGGUAUUGAUGGAAGAAAGACGAUGCAUGCGACACCAUAUCGUGCGCUCAAAGAGAUGAGAAUGAGAGGCUGAGAAAAAAAUUCAAAGUCGUCGUGCUUUCGUAAUCGUCCGUUCUCAUAAAUUAGCUGAUGAAUGUGUGAUUGGUAAGGGUUUAGAUAUAUUGGAUUGGAUUUUGGGUUUACUCUUGAGUUGGGCUGCUGGUGAUGGUGUGCUAAAAGAAAAAUGGAGCUUGGAUUGAUGAGCCUUUUG
rnacentral:lncRNA from 1 species